rnacentral:lncRNA from 1 species
AUUAACCUCAAACCCUAAACAACAAAACAGAGAUGUUUUCGAGAAUCCAGGAAGAGAUCAAAAAAUAAUUUUAAACAUUUUAACUCAUAAGCAUUCAAAGAGGCCAAGACAGCCAACAACAACAGGAUUCAAAACCCAAAAGAAGAAGGAAGAAUAGAAGAAGGCGAAAAAGAUUUAAAAAGAGGAGAAGAACUUAUCUCUACAAGCGACGAAAAGCUCACGUCGUCGGACGCAACUCAGGCCAAGUAGUCCUUCUUCUUUCCUUUCCUUGCUUUAAAUCCAUAUGCUUCUUGUUCGUUACUGCAAAAUAAUUAAAACCCCUAUAUUAAUUGCUUCAAACUGUGACUAUUAAAGGUUGAAUCGCAAAUUUAGGUUUAGGUUUUUUUUCUUAUUUUCUUACCGCCGAUCCGGUUGAUUGAAGCGGAUUUUGAAAAAACUGAGGCCGAGUUUGGAAUCUCCGGCCAAAAAUAAGUGGGAUUCGUGUUUUAAAGUUUGGGUUUGGGGUGAAGAGUCGCCGGAGAAGAGGGCGCCGCCGCCGCGGUUGGCCGGCCGCCACCGUCUUCUCCGGCAGGUUUGGUCGUGAGGAGAGUGACGACGAAGAAGAAGAAGUUGCAGAGCAACUUUAUUUCAGAAGUGAAGAGAGAGAACGAGAGGAGCAAAUGAGACUCUCU